AAUUAAAUAAAUCGUCGUAUAAUGUCGAGAAUAUGGCUCGAAAGUUUCUACCAAGCUACCUUAAAUGGCUUGACUACGAUUAGAUAUAGA
rnacentral:ncRNA from 1 species